rnacentral:lncRNA from 1 species
UAUUGAAAACUUUAUUACAAUUUAUAAUUUUAUUAGCUAUUAGUUAUUAUUUUAUUUUCUAAACUUCUUUUCUGAUUAAAUUACUAAAUUCCAGAAAAUUAAAAGCUAAGGACUCUAAAUCAAAAAGUUUGAAGUGUUUAUUUUUUUAGAGAAUGAUAGUAAGUUGCGCGUUUUAUUCUUUUAUUUUAAAAAAUUAUUUCAAUUAAAAAUGUAAAGAAUAUCGAACUUAAAAUUUCAUGUACUGACCAUAUAACCCUUAGCAAUUUUGUCGGGCACUGCCGGACAAAAAUAUUGAAGCCGAGAAGCGUAUUUUGAUUCUCGAAAAGUAUGAAAAAAAAUUAUAACUCUGAUAAUGUGCUAUCUAUUACUUUUGUUUCUACCAGUAAAUAAUGAUAGUUUAAUUUUGUCUUUAAUUAAUCUCUCGAACUUAGCGACCGUCCAAAAUAGCAUAUUUGAUUAAAAAGUUAGUUCUAUUAUACUUUAUAUAUAUGUAAAACUAUUCUUAAUCCUGACAGCAUUCUAGCCAGUGACAGUUUUCUGGCUAAAACAUAUCUUUAAUCUGUCUAAUUUACAAAAAAAAUAUAAUUUUCUUAAAAUUUUAAAUUUAAUGAAAGGUCUUCUUUUCAUAUUUUUAAUUCUGUAGACGAAAACUAUUGAAGAAAGCAUUUUCCAUAAUAUUUUUUAAAAAUUUUAUUUUUAUAAUUUUAUGAGGAACCAACCACCCGUUUCAAAAAUUACAAAUCCCAAACUGAAAAGUUAAAAUGGUCAAAGUGAAACCCUGAAAAGAUUCAGGGGCCAGCGGUGAAAUUUGACCCGCAUCUUUACCAAAAUUUAAUUUUACUUACAAAAACUUCAAAUACCAUCCCAAGUAGUUUAUACUUUUUCACUUUAGUAUUCUGGGGUUUAAAGUUUACCAAUUUAGUAUCACGUGGUUUCAUUUUUUUUUUUUUAUUAUUCAUUUCAUUAAUUUUUUUCGUUAAAUCAGUGACAAAAUUAAAAAUAAAAAAUAUACUCAAGUGAAUAUUUAAUAAACUCUGAAAUUUUUUAUAUAUAAUUUAACGAAAUAUUAACGGAGAAUCUGACGAAAAGAUAAAAAAGAAAUUACAGGAUACCAACUUGAUCCACUUUAAAUUAUAGGGUACUAAAAUAAGAAAGUACAAAACUAUAGGGGUGAUAUUUGAAUUUUACCCUUUAUUUUAUUCUAUUUUACUUCAUUUUACACCUUCCCUGCGACCUUCAUUACGGGGGCCAAAAAAGCGAGCAAGCGAAGCGAAGCGAAAGACGAUGGUCAAAACGGAGCACUGGAGAGCGCGGAGGCUCCGUUCCCUUCGUUAAAUGCUUAAAUAAAGUAAACACUCCGCGAACCCUAGAUUUCGACCCCUCCCCAUUCACAUAUCCCCCGAUCCCUCGAUCGCUCAAUCCCAUCCCCAAUCCCUCUCUCUCUCUCCUAUCUCUCUCUUCGCGGAUCCCUUCCUCUCCACCGUCGCCAUGGGACUCUGGGAAGCUUUCCUCAACUGGCUCCGAAGGUGAGGGGUCUUCUUUGCUGCUGAUCUUUUUGUUUUGAUUCGAGUUCGUGUUGUAGCGUUGUUUGGGUUGGUAAGGAUGCGUUUGAUGUUGUAAAUUGGGGGGGAGACAGGUGGGGAAUUGGGGUUUGGGACCAGAUUAUGUGUGUGUUGUUUCAUGGAUUUGAUGCAAGAUUGCGGCUUUUCCGUGGUGUUGACUUGCGCCGGUUGUUGUCGAUGGUGCUGCAGUUGGUUUUAAGUUGGUCAAAUUUUGAAUUUUGGGUUGAGUCAGCUGUGAUCUUUCUGUGGUAAAUGGGCGAUGAUUUCACAAAUCGGAAAUUGUUAGAUUUGUGUGCUAGUGAUUCGGUUUUGUAUGAGGAUAUGGAUCAGAUAAGGGCACUUUUUUUUUGUUUUGUUUUGUAAUUUUACUAAAUCAAUGCCUGUUGGGGUACUAAUGUUGUAUUUGAAUAAUUAUCUUUCAAAUGCAGCCUCUUUUUCAAGCAAGAGAUGGAACUCUCAUUAAUUGGGCUUCAAAAUGCUGGGAAAACUUCCCUUGUGAAUGUCAUUGCGGUAUGUUCAGAUGAUGUUUGCGCACGACUCUGAUCACAGUCAUGAUGUAUUCUGACAAUUUUCUUUGUUUUUGUUAUAUUCUCUGUAGACUGGUGGGUAUAGUGAGGACAUGAUUCCUACUGUGAGUGUGUUCGCCCUCGUCCUUUUUAUUUAUUUAUUUAUUUUUGUUUUCUGUUUCUUUAUGUAGUAGUUGUAAAGCUCUAAUAUAGUUUUAUCAAUUUGCAGGUUGGAUUCAAUAUGAGGAAGGUGACGAAGGGGAAUGUUACAAUAAAGUUGUGGGAUCUUGGAGGACAGCCUAGAUUUCGCAGUAUGUGGGAGAGAUAUUGCCGCGCAGUCUCUGCAAUCGUGUAUGUGCGCUUAUCUUUUAGAUAUCUGUUAUGAUUUAUUUGCGGAAAGAUAUCAAUUGGUAGAACCCUUGAUAAAAGAAAGAAGUUAGAUGAUAUGCUGCUCAUAAUUUUUUGUUACUUGAAACUUAGAUAUGCAUCGUACAUCCUUUCUUGUUAAUGCUAUAAAAAUCUGCUGCUAGUUGACAGCCAUUGGAAAAACUGAACAUUCUGUCUCUCGAGAGUCUCCAUGUUAUUGCUUUUAUUGUUUAAUCCUUGAUAAGUUCAGAAUCAGCAUAUACCUACUGAUGCCCUGUAUAUAGUGCAUCAUUUGCAUGUUUUUUGUGUUUUCGGUCCUGUAUAUUUCUCCCUUUUCUCUUACACUGUGUAACAUGAUGUUUAUAUUGCAAAGAUGCUAUGAUGGAGGGGUACUUCAUUUUAGCUGCUUGCCUGUUGCUUUUAUGGUACAUGUUGGAAACUUCAUGAGGGUUUCCCACAUUUUGUAAAUGUAGAUCAAAUAUCCGUAAACUUGAGGGUUAAAUGAAGGAUUUGAUCAGAUACUUGCGAGAUAUGGGACGAAGUUCUUUUGGGCUAAUUCAUGACAGAACUAUUCUUAAGUGGAUUUAGGACGAAGAUAUGAAGUGAGCGAAGAAGAAAGAAAUUGUUUAGUCGAUAGAUUUUAGGAUAUGGUUCUCUAUCUUUCUUUGUAAUUUGUACAUAAAGGGGAGGAAAAAGAAGCUGAUAGAUAACUUGAAAAUGUGAUCGAGUCAACCAAGUAUUCAGUUUAACAGUCAAUGACCAGUUUUUACUUUUCUCAAAUCGGAGUAAAUUCAACUGGUACUGAAAAUUAGUACCCGUUUCUCUUAAGAUCAAAUAGCUAUAUUACCAAUUUGAUUUUCUUGUAUUUCUGGUCAUUUUUCAUCAAUUACUUUUGUGUUUGCCAGCCAAGAAUUACUUCUCUAACUUAACCGUAUCCUUUCCAACAACAAAAGUUUCAAUACUGAAAAGAUGCCAUUUAUCAAAAUCAGCUUUUGGUUCAGAGGCUUUCGUCUUUAGGUCUUCCAUUGAGCAGUCAUGAGAGACACAAAAAUUGCAACAAAGCCCAAAUGUAGUCAUAAGAGAAUGACAAAAAUUGCUUACUUGGUAAUUUUUUGGUGAUCAUAUUAAUGUUCCCAUUCAUUUUAGUCGGGAAGUCUCAUGCAAAAGUAAUGAUUGCAAUGAAAUGGAAAGGUUAGAAAAUAGAAACCCAAUUGUACAAUUUUAAUGUUGCGGAGUGAACUGAGAGCACACUGAUACGGCCAAGGUAUCCUGGUGCAAUUUACUCUUUCUUGCUGCCUUUGGUUUUUCCCCAAUUUGUUGUUUUCCAUCACUUUAAUUGUUUUGUGCCCUACUCUUGUUCUGUGUAAUAUAUUUUCUGACCAACAUUCCUGUCUGAUUAUAUGGGAAAAGGGGCACUUUUCCCAAACUAGUCAUCAUCUUAAAUUUUGGCUAAUAUGGUAAUUCCACUACAAACCUCAUAAAUAUUUGGAACUAAUGGAACCUUGUCAAUAUGCUUUAAAAAUUGCUGAGUAAAGCCUACUUAGCUUAGUUCUGCUGAGUUGUAUCUUUUGGUCUGGUUUGAUCUCUUUUCUAGGAGUAGGGCUUGGUUAUAAAAAGGUUCGUAACCAUCUGGUGGUGAACUGGAUUGAGUUACGGAGAUAUAUCAUAAUAAAUUAAUAAUACUUUUAGCUUAAUUUGGAAACCACAGUGAAGCAAUUGUCACAGUUAUUUCAUAAAUUCGCACCUGCUGAUUCAUUCUUAAUAUGUCAACUAGCUACGUAUCUCAAUCCUUAGGCCAGCUUUUGUUUCGGCAUUCUGUUGCAGUUAGGUUAGAAAAGAAAAGGGUCAAAUAACACCUUUACAAGGUAAUAGAAAACAUUGUGGUUGACAGUGGAAACAGCCUCAAUACCAUUUUUCUUGUUAUUUGUGCUUUUAUCUGUCAUUUUGUUGGCUUAGACCUGAUAUAAACAAUUACAAUCCUAUACGUUUGCAGGUAUGUUGUUGAUGCAGCUGAUCAUGAAAACUUGCACAUCUCGAAAAGUGAACUUCAUGACCUUCUAAGCAAACCAUCAUUGAGCGGGAUUCCAUUGCUAGUCCUGGGGAAUAAGAUUGACAAGCCUGAAGCUCUCUCGAAGCAGGCUUUGACAGAUGAAAUGUAAAGUCCCUUCCUUUCUACCUUAAGUUUGCAAGUUUCUGUCAUGAGAAAAAAAGAAACCUUUACAUUUAUAUCCAUGCAAAAAAUAUCUAUUAACAUCUAAAUCCCGGAAAAAUUUGGAUUUUAUUAUAUGCACAUUCAACACCAAGUUUCUUACAUAUAACCCUUUUCAUUUACAAAUUAUCUGAUAUAAAGGUUUUUCCACCCUCUUUAAAGAUUUUUAUCUGAUAUAAUUCUAUUCUAAAGACAGAUUUAUGGAACCUUUUAUUUCAGGCAUAAAUGUUUCUUUUAUAAAUGUUCAUAGAGCUAGAAGAGACAUUAAAUUGUCGCUUGUAAGGCUAGUGAUAGCAUACUCUUUUACUCUUCUAAUUGUAUAAAAUACUGCUGUUCCUAAACUUAAACAAAAAAAAAAAAUCAGAAACUAAAUAGUAGUUUACAAGAUUGUGUGGACUAGAAAGAAUACAAAAUGUUUGAAUUAUGAAAAGUGUAGAGUUACAAACUAUUUUCCAAGAGGAGUAAAUACUUUGACUCGCUAGAUAUUACUUUUAGAAGAGGAGAUGUAUACAUGAUUGGUUGGUGGAUGCAUAUCUUUGACAUUUAGUCUUAGGCAUAUAGCCAUACAUUUUGUUAUGUAGAGGGCACAUGCAGCGAUUGGGCAUUAAGGUAUUAGAUUACUUUUUACUUUUGCAAGAUACUUCACUUUCAAUGGGUUUAUUAGAGAAUCCAAAUUUGGCAUGGGAAUAUAUGUAAAAAGAUAACUUUGCAGGGGUAUAUUUGUAACCCCCUUUCCUCCUGAAAACUGAUGGAAAACAGAAAAGAAAUUCAGUUCAUGUCAUGGUAGAGCUUUUCUCGUAGUUAUUGAUUUAGCUGCAAUUACAGGGGUUUAAAGUCUAUCACCAAUAGGGAAGUAUGCUGCUUCAUGAUAUCAUGCAAGAACUCGACCAACAUUGAUUCCGUCAUAGAUUGGCUUGUGAAGCACUCGAAGACGAAGAAAUGAGGAUUUAGGCCUUCUGCUGCUGCUGCUGCUGCUGCUGCUGCUGCUGCUGCUUUGUUUUCUCGAGUUGUCGUUAUUCUAUGUGGAUAUUGAGGUUGUAUUUUGUGGUUGUUAGUGGUUGAGUAUUGCUCUUUUAUUUAUUAGAUGGGGAUUCUGAUUUUUAUGUUACCUCCUAACAGGAGAGAGGGGUGAUCUGUUCUGUGGGUAAUCUAUGCUUAAAGGUGGGCUUUGUCAUGUUGAAAAACUCUGCUUACUUAUGGCCUUGUGCUUGAUUUACCUGUACUGAUUGGUGUGAAAAGUUUUUUUUUUUUUGUGGAUAUGUUCAAAUUACGCUGUAAAAAAUAUUGCAGUUUGUCUAAAACUAAGUCACUGUUGUGUAUGACAUGAAUUUUCCAAUCCUUAAAGAGAUUUUUUUUAAAAAAAAUCUUAUUAAAGGUGAUUAUAUACAGGACUUUCUUGGAUAAUCUAGUAUAGCAUAUUCACAGGUGUACAAGUGGCACUCUGAUGCUCAAAUAAGUUGGGCGUUCGUCGUGUCUGUAAUAUCCCAGACGACCCGCAACCACUGAUGAUGAAAUUGCCGGUAAAUUGCUCUGAGGUUGGAUGGCAGGAAGGAUGAUGGGUACCCGGAAUGAGGAAAUUGGGACGAGUAGAGUUUGGGGAGAUAGAGGUGAUGAGAUGAGGGGUAAGGUAGAGAAGAAGGGAGAAGGAGAAGAAGCUUCACUUGACUUAAAAGAGUCCUUGUCUUAGGGAAAUUAUUAUUGCUUCAAUUACGCUGAGAAACCACAGCCUUAUGCUCUCUCAAUCAGUCUAAUACUUGACUAGUUGAGAAUAGAAAUAUUAAAUCAACGGUCGUCAGAUGCUUGGUGCACGGAUGUGUAUUGAUGCUCAAAUGUAGGAAAUACUUUUGUUCUCUAAUAGUAAUGAAGGACGAUGAGUAAGUGAAACGUAAAGGUGUCCAAAAUAUCCGAUAUCCCAUACCCGAUCCGGACCCUACCCGGAUCCGAACCGGACCCGAACCGGACCCGAUAAAAAAUGAAUAGUAUACGGAUAAAAAAAAUUGCCCAUUAAAAUUUCGGGUAUAGGUCCGGAUAUUUUAUACCCAUACCCGAUUUGGGUCCGACCCGAACCUAACUUUUAAAUGGGUAGGGUCCGGAAUAGUUUUCAAAUCCGGACCCAGACCCGGACCCGAUGAAAUAUCCGAUAGUAAAUAAAAAAAAAUAAACUUUUGAAGUUGAAGGAUCAAUUUUAAUAUGACUUAUAGAUAAUGAGUCACUAUGUAUUUUCAUCCUAAUGAAACCCUAGCCGUCUCUUUUACUCAUUACUUUUUUCUAAUUUUUUUACUCUUUGUUUUCUACUCUUUUUUUUCAUUUCAUUUCCGCCAACAAUAUUUCAUUGUCAACAAUAUAGUUUAUUUAUUGACUAUUUAAUAAAGUUUAUAAAAAAAUAUAUUUAUACAGAUAUCCGUAUCCGAUUUAGACCCGAUCCAUAUCCGAUUUUGAACGGGUAGUAUACGGAUAGUCACUACCCAGACCCGCUCAAAUAGACCCGAUGAGUAUAUUAGAAACUUUAGUACCCAGACCCGGACCCGACCCGAAAUUAAAUGGGUAGGGUAUAUAUAUAUUUUUUGUAACCAUUUCUUUUUAGGGUAUGGGUACAAUAUAUUAAUUAUCCAGACCCGACCCGGUCCACGGACAUCUUUAGUGAAACGUUUUAAAAAUCUAAUGUUAAACAUCAAACUAUAAAUUUGAUGAGUUCAGGAACCAGUUUUGCUAUUUAACAUAUUCGAUGAAUGAAACCAAUAUCUUCCCAGAUAUCAGAAAUAUUGUGCUCAAGAAAAAUCAGCCAGAAAAUGCCGUCUAAUUAUUGAGGAAUUUAUAGUCUAGGCAAGUCAAAUGUUUCUACUGCAGCAGAAAUUAAAAUAAGAUCAUCAAAAAUAAGAUCCUUAUACCCAAAGGUAAAAGCCUGAAUUUUCUGCUACGCUGCAGGAAGAGUUGGCCGAAGAAGUUUUGAUUUCUCUCUUCUCAAAACUAGUUAGAUAGCACUUCACCCAACAGCACUAUAUCCAAAGGAUGCACAAAAACUAUAUCCAGCACUACAUCCAAAGGAUGCACAAGAACUAUAUCCAGCACUAUAUCCAAAGAAUGCCCAAGAACUAUAUCCAUGACCGACGGAAGAGCUCAAGAGUUGCACCCCAAAAGAACAUUACUCGAAAAGUAGUGAGCAAUAACAAUAACAGGAAAAUGCUGACAGCUCAAUAAGAAAGAAACAAAAGCAAUUCGAGUUUCCGAAAAAAGUAAUCAUUUGCCGAUGAACUCUAAAAAACAAUCAAAAGCAGCUAUUCAACGGCCAAAACUGCUCGAGGUCCACUCCAUAACAAAUGUUGCUUGGAUAACACAUAUCUUUUAAAAACAACCAAGAUCCAUUAAAUGAAAAUUUUAAUAUGAGUUUCCAACUUCCUUUAGGCUCCAACAAUUUCUUGCUCACCCUCCAAUGGGACAUCUUCCGCAGGUCUAUCCACUUUAACACCUACAUCCUCCUUGUAAUCACCGUGGACCUGAAGAUGUAAUAGAAAGUCACAUGAACCGAGAAAGCUGAAGCCCACAAUUGCAAAUAACUAAACAUAUAUAAAUGACUAAAUGAGUUAAUCAGAAAUUUAUUCUUGAUUUUAAUUCCAAUUUUAAUUAGUUUUUCUUUUCAAAAUUUAGUCCCUAAAGUUCGUUGAGCGCGCUAAGACUUUACCAUCAAAUAAAUAGCUAUGUCAGCAUCUCAUAAAAAACAAAACGAAUAGAAAACUGGGAUUUUUUACCAAAUUUCAACGAUGAUGACAUUGUAUCCUCUUCAGAUGAUAGACUAGCAAAAACAUUUAAUUGUUACGCAGGAAUCUGGAUUGCUUAAUUGAAUACAAAAGAAUGCAAUUAAUUUUCAGAACCAAUAUCAGGGAAUAAGUUUCCAGUUAACACUUACAAAAUAAAUUCAAUUCUUUAUUGAGUAAAAAUGAGAAAAGAUAAGAAUCUAUGAUAUAUGGGUUCAAGUUUUAAUUUGUGUCAAGCAUACCUCCAUGAGUUUCCCCAAAUCAAACUUAGGGGCCUUUAGGAUCUUGACCUUGCGGAUGAAGACAUUCUGUAGAGGGAAGAUGCUCGAAGUUGCUUUCUCAAUCUCCUUCCCAAUGACCUCAGGGAUAAAUUUCUGCACCAGGUCCUUAAGAUCACAGGAUGUAGCUUGGUUUACCAUAAUCUCUCUCAUUUUGCGGCGAAUCUAAGAAAAAAGAUGGAAAGAACUUGUAAAUAACUCAUUGGAAGCAAAUUAAACCUUUAAUUUGCAAAGCUAGAUGGGAUCAUUACCUGUCUAAUCUGACUGGAUUGAGCAUAACAAGUCCGCUUAACCUGGUUAGGGCGUCUCUUAGUGAAGGCGAUACAGAACAUUCUCAGAGCGUAGUUGUCGGUAGUCUUCACAUCAACAUGAGCCUCAAUGAGAGUCUGCCACUUCCUCACAAGAGAUCUGAGCUUGUCCGUUGUGAAGUCCAUGCCCUGAAAAGGAGAAGAGAGAAAAUGGUUGAAGGAAGAGAUUAAUACAAGAAAAACAAAAAGAAGAUGUAAAUUAUAUUCCAGCAAAUUAUCAGUCUACAUAUAUAUCCCUUGGAGGUGCAGUUCCUCACAAAAAUUUCUCUACAUGAAGUUGAGAAAUCAUUAAUUCAUGGUGUUGAGUUGGGUAUAAAUUAGAAUAAGUUUUAAGUAGGAACAGUUUGAACGUAAAAGAGUACAUAGGAAAGCAUUAGUUUCUAAAGGGCAUAUGAGAAAAUUCAGAUUUUGCGGUGACACAAAAGGUAAAUAGAUAAUUUUACAGGGGAAUAUAUGUGAACUGAAAAUAUCUCAAAGAACAUACCCAGAAGUUGGUGAGGACAUUCUUUCCUUGCACAUCCUCAGCACGAAGUCUAAUCUUUCUGUAAGCUUGGUCCUCGUCAUUCUGAAGGUCGGCCAAAGAGAUCUCAAAAACCCUGUGCUUGAGACCCUCGGAUGCAAUCUAAGAUUAAGGAAAGAAAUGGUUUAAAUAUGCGCUCAUGCACCCAAAAAAAAAAUCAAGCAAAAUGCGUGAAACACAACAACAGCUGUAAGAACAACCAUCCCUGUGAUAAUAAUUCAAUUAAAAGGAGAUAAAAGAGUGCAAAACAAGCACCCUUUCUCCACAAAUAGGCUACACUCAUCAAGAUCCUAUUUAGAAAAUUUACCAAUUACCUUGCAAAUCUAUAACGUCAACCAGAAAAUAAAUAUUCAAAAAAAAGCAAGACAAAUUCGCAAAAUGUGAAACGAUAAUAGAGUAGUUAUGUAGACAUGGAAAAAUUGAUACAGAAGCAACAGGAAUCUGAAUACACAAUGUACACUGGAACCACUGCUCCAAACUACAGUUCAGCUACUUGAAACUGAAGAUACACAGUUUUCUGAAAUAGGUUAAGGGCAUCGAGUUGAACAGAAUUGCAGAUCAACCAAAAAAAUAAUACAUACAAGCAAAAAAACAGAUGGCCUCAAAUACCAUACCACAUGACAUAUUUUAACCUAUUUCUUACAAUUAUAAAAACUAGACAGUUCUUUGUAUUAGAUAUCACAUUCAAAUUUUCUUUUUCACAGUUAUGACCCGCAUUUAUCUAUACAAGUCAUCAACAGACAAACUUACAUCAUAGGAAAAUAUUUUAUGAAUCUUAAAGGAGCAUCAAAAUUUCCAUUAGGCUGAAAAACACAAUCUUAAAACACAGUAAGUUUCUUCAUAGAUGAAUAAAUUCAACACAAACCACAAUAGCAUAUGAACCAUUACUAGUGCGAUCUAACAUUCUCACGAGCUAUUAUUAGGUUUCGAUAUGCAUACAGAAGAAUAAUUAGUGAUCAAAAAUUGAAAUUGCAUUCCGAUCAACAAGUUUCGGUACAUUGUAAAAUCAUAAUCAGCUUCGACAGGGCACUAAGAUGCAUUUGUAUCCUAUAAAUGACAAACUUAAACGUAUCAAUUGUGACGAAUCAAAGUUUAGUAACAUAAUAAACUUUUGCCUAUAGUUUAAGUGUUUAACAAUGAAUGGUGAAAUCCACUGGCAAUGACAAGUACUAAUUUUCAACACAAGCCAGCUGAUCUUACUAAACACGAACUACACAGAACGAAUAUGUAAGAAAAAAAACUAGCAGGAAAAAUUAACAAAAACAUGGAAGGACCAAAGCGAAAAAUCUCACCUUGGUACCCUGAGUCCUCGAGACUAGGGUUUUCCCGACGUUCCUCACGUUGAACACGGAGGGCGCCUUGAUGUCGUACCAAUCCUUCUUCGAGAACGGAUCAACACUAUAGUACACCAAACGAAUCAAAACCCACGCGAAUCUAAAGCGAUUUGAGGCGAAAAUAGAACAAAAAGGAGAUCGAUUAGGGGUUUAAGAGAUUACGUCUUCUUCUUCCCACCCUUCUUGCCCUUGGAGAUCCUCUUGUUCUUCCUGAAACCGACCGCGAACACGAAAGAGAGCGAAAGAGAGAUCAAUCGACGGAGAACAAAAUGGAGAUCAAGUAAGAGUAAAAUUGGGGGAAAAUGGGGGAAUAAUGAGCUAACCCAACCGCCAUGAUCGCUGCUACGCUCAAAGCUUUUGCGGCGCCUCGCGCGAGGGGUUCGGUGAUUUCGCGAGGGAGGAGGACGAAACGGUUGCCCUAGAACGAGAGGGCCUUAUAUAUAUAGCUUGACCCGAACCCUCGGUUUAUUUGAUCGACGGUUGAGAUUUGCCCUUGUAGAAAGCUGAUGGAUCUAACGGUAGUGGGUGGGUGUUGGGUUGUUGAAGGGUUAAAACCCAUGGGCUUUUCAUAGCCCAUAAGAGCCCAAGCAUAAAUUGGGCUACGAAUGGAUUACUAAGGCCCAGCCCAAGUUUCUUUUUAUUAUAGAUUUAAUUAUAAAGAUUCUAAUGUAUUAAAAAUUGCAUCAAUUAGCCACUUGUAUUUUGUUUCUGUUUUAAAAUAGGUCCAAAUUUUUGGAAUGAUCCGCGAAUUAGAUUGUAAAACUUCGAUACAACGAGUUGGUAUAUCACAUUGUUCCACAUCUCUGCUUCUAUUUAGUUUGCAACCCAAAAAACAAAUUAAAAAUAAUUAUAAUUUAUCGAAUAAUUUAUCCAAUUUAUUUGAUUCUAUUGCAUUAAUUAUUAUUAACUUAUUUCCUAAUUUGUUUUUAUAAAUUUUUACAUCUAAAUUCAACAAUUAUUCUGAAGCUGUGGACUUGUUUAAAAUAAUGAUAAAGUGAAGGAGAGUAACUAACUCAAUUUUUAAUAUAGAAAAAUAAUUGAGACAGGGACUAAAGUACUAGAGAGUUUUUUUUUUGAAAUAAUUUAGUGUUGUUUAUAUCUGAGCUAUUUUUAAUUCGGCUUGGCCCGAUUAUUUUUAGAGAGGCCCAGGCUCAAAAAUAGGAAUAAAAAGUUGAAGAAAAUAUUUGAUAAAUAAUAUAUAUAUUAUUUAUAAUGUUAAAUUAUAUAUAUAAUAAUUAUGUAAAAUAAUACACACUACAUAUUUUUACUUAUAGUAUAUAAUUGUAAUAUAAUAUUAUUUAUAAUAUAUCCUCCAUAUUUAUAUUAUAUUGUCAUAUAAAUUAAUAUAUAUUCUUAAUAAUACUAUAUACUACAUAUAUCAUUUAUUCUUUAUAUGGACAGAUAUAUAUGUAAAACUAAUUUUUUUUUUUUUUUUGGUAAAAAUGUACGGCACGUAUUUGUUCUAUGGACCAUUUUAAGUAGAUUAUUUAAUUUCUUAAUUUCUUAAGUAGAUUAUUUAAUNCAGGCUUUCGGGUCGGGCUCCGGUCGAAGGGCUUUCGGGUCGGGCUCGGGCCGGGCUUGGACAUGUUUAGAUAGGUCCAAAAAAUUCCCAGACAUAGUGUUAUAAUUUUGAUACCCAAAACCCGACCCAUUAGGCCCCAGGCCCAGUCCACCCCUAGGAACAGUCCCUAAGGCUUGCCCUACUAGCCAUUAACAUGGCUUUGUUAUAUUUAGAAGCUGGACAAUAAGAUUGAUUAGUUUCUAGCACAAGGGCAUACAAAAAUUUGUUUCUCCUAAAUAAUAACACAUAGUAACAUUUUUAACAUUUUGUGAAAUUUUGUAAAAUAUUUAAAUUAAAAGGUAAAGCACUAGAAAUAAACUUUUUGUAAAAAUUAGGAUACUAACAGGCAAUUAAAUGAAUCCGAAAAAAAAAAAAAGACUAUGGAUCAUUUUGAAUCAGUUAUUCAUUCUUUCAAAAUUUUGAUAUUACUGCCCAAGCUUUCUAUUUGUUUGAUUUGAAUCGGUCAUUAGCAUUUUGAUUUCCAAAUUUAACCUGAUUGCUUACUAUAAUAAAUUUAUAAUUAUAAAGAUUGUAUAAAUUAUACUAAUUAAUUUGAAAGAUAAACGGCACAGACAAAAUUUAAAGUCAAAAAACCGGUUUUUUUUCUAGGGAAAUGGCCCGAGAGCGAAAAUUUAUUUAAAUAAAAUGAGGCGAUACAGAAAUUAAAAAAAAAAAUCCUCAAAAGAGGACCACAUGGUGCAUUUUUUGUUAGACAGAUCCCAAUUGACUAGUUGAUCAGCUUGCAUAGCAUUCCUAAAGAAGUGAGAAUUCCAUCCAAAAGAAAAGACGUGACAUGCGUCGACGAAGGACUGAAGCGUUUUGAGCUUUAUUCAAAAAAUCGUUGACUAACAUAAAUUGAACAAAUUAAAAAACUGAUAGUAAUUUAAAAUUUUGAAAGAUUGAAUAGUUGAUUCAAAACGGUUCACGUUCUGAUAAGUCAUAUACUUUUUUAUCACCAAAAUAAUUCUCUCUCUCAAGGAUUGCUUCAUUGCACAUCUAGGAGCUACAGCGCAUGGUGUUGACUCUUUUGGGUAAUUCCCAGUUGGUGUACUACAACUUGUUUGUUUCUAGAAGAUCAAAGACACUCUGUGUUAUUAAUUUCUUCACAUAAUUAAAAGCUUUUUGCGUCGUCUAUACGGUUUAAAUGCAGCUUAAUUCCCCAGCGUGAAUCAUAUUUUGUUGUUAGCCGCGCUAAUAAAUGUCAAACUACUCUUCUCUCUGAUGUCAAGGACUUUGACUUUUAAUAGAAAAAGUCUUAAAUAUGACAAUCAUAUGAGUGAUGUGGUGUCUCCAAUUAAUCAAUUAUUUUCUUAAAAUUUAUCCUUCCCAUCAUAAAUUUUAGAAAAAUAUUUUUAUUAUGCUUUUUCUCUGGAAAAAAAUAAUGUAAUUAACUGGAAAUAGAUAAUGUGUAGUGUUGGCUUAAAUGGGCCAGCAUUCUACCCUAUGGCGGAAGGUCAUGUUGGGUCCAGUCAUGUUCGAAAUGACGUGAGGCUGGGUGAGCUGAGUCAUGUUCGAAGUGGCGUGAGGCUAGUUGGACCGAGUCACAAUCGAGACCCGUGGGCGCUGUAUCUAUACGCUUUAAGUGAAUUGGUUGCGUGUUUCUAACAGUUCGAGCUUUUGGAAUUAAUGGUUAGCUCCAACGAUCCAACAUGUAGCUGCUAUCCUUUUAAUAAGAUUAUAGGAGUACUGCAAAAUUAAGUAUGGGAUGUAUCAACCUCAGCGACUUUACCAUGGGGGUAAGUAUUAUUCGGUGUAAACUGAAUUGGGGGCUUAUUUUUAAACUAUUAAAUUCAAUUAUUUUGAUAAGUUAAUUGGAUAUGAUUUUGUAAAUAAAAGUUCAAAAAAGUUGAAGGAAUUGAAUCAGCAAAAUUUCAGUAUUUUGAGAUACAGUCCAUUUUUGGAUGAUGAUCAAUAAUUGGACUUUGUAACAAUCAACAUUCAGGAAUAAAAAAUUUAGAGUCAUAUUAAUAUAUUAAUAUUGAUAAGUACGUGUUAUAGUUUAAUAUGUUAGUCUUAAUGAAAUUUAUUAUUCAAAUCGAAUUAUAAUUUUUUUGAAUUGGUUUUGUUGGGUUCGUCGUCUUAGUUCGGUUUGAUUUAGUUACGUGAAAAAAGAAAAUUUGCAUUUAAAAUAAAGGGUAAAAAUACAUGGAGUACUUAAUUAAUGAGAUAUAUAUAUUUAUGAUAUUGAGACUUAGUUCCUCAAAUUUGAGUUAAACAUGUUAGAAGUUUCUAUAUUUUGUAAUUUCAUUCCUAACUGUAAAAGAAAAAAAGAAAACAAAAUUUCUUAUAAUAUGCAUAUUUUACUCCCUUUUGCGAAAAAUGUUUUUCUUUUGUUUUUUUGCCUGGUAAGUAAUUAAAGAAGUAAAAUGAUCAAAUUGAUCAGAUUUAUAUGAGACAAUUAGUAAGUUUUAUCUACCAGGGAUUAAAUUAAUUGCAUGCAAGCAAAUGAGAAAGUUUUUAGGGACUAAAUUUGUUAUGUGAAAAAUUCAAGAAUAAUUAAAUUGCAAUAUUUGGAUAGUUUAGGUACAAAACCUGCAAUAUUUUACCGCAAAAUGAAAAGUUACAAAACCAUCCCUUAAUAUUAUUCAUGAUGUCCUUAAUUUGCAUUAUAUGGAGUCCUAUAUAUGUGGGAGUUUGUUGCUUAAUUCAUUUAAAGAUCUUUAAUUUGUAUAAUCUAGAAGCUAGUUGGCUUAAGCACAGCCAUAUAACCUCUUUUUUUGUUUUCUUUUUUUUCUUUUUUUCUCCCAACAACUAAGUGGGAUUGGAACUCCAUGAUUAUUUUUAUGACUAUUAUUUGAAAUUUAUUAUGCUACAUUUCAUUUUAACCAAUGAGCAGUAAUUAUGCAGUGGCUAUGAAAAACAUGUAUGUUUAUUCAGUAUCUACUGAACCAACAAAAAUUAAGAUUCUAGAUUCUACAAGCAAUUCUUUCUCAAAUUUUCCCUUUUUCUUUUACUUCACACCUGUCUUUGCUGGACUGAUUCAGAUCUUUAAAGGUAAAUAAAAAAAAAAAAUCAGCAAAAAACCAUAGAAUUAAUGGUCUAAUAAGAGAAUUUUUACAAUUAACAAACAUGUAAAAUAUUUUGGAACAUAUAUUGGGGAAACCACACCAAUUGAGGAGUGCAAUUAACAAAACUUCAUAAACAAAAAUUAAUGCACAGCAAAUUAAUGCUCUUGAGGUUGAUCCUCACUCAAACCCAACUUGUGAAAAGCUUGUAAUUUACAUCAUUAACAUAAUAACAACUAAAAGGGGGGAAAUAAAAAGUGGAAAAAGAUGAAGAACCAAAAUUUAAGUUAUAGACAUUAAUUAAUUAAUAACCUAACCUCUCUUUCCAUGAGUAGCAUGAGCUGAUCUUGGAGAUGUUAAUGCAUUAUUAUUAUUAUUAUUACUACUAGUAUUAAUCCCCUUGGCACUCACCCUCCUCCCAUAAUCCUUCGUCUUCAUGGAUCUCCUAUUUUGCCCCUCCUCCUCCCCCUUCAAAGUGGGCACCAAAUACCACCAUAUUGAGGUGCAACAUAUAGCAAACACCCUCCCAAACACCAUUAAACACGCCAAUAUUAUCACCAUCACCACAACCCAAUUGUAUCCCCUCCUCUUGUUGUUGUUUCUGUUGUUGUCGCUUCCCCACGAAAAGCUCUUCUUCACCGCCUUCUGCGCCGUCGCCCCUCUCGCCUCCUUCGGGGCUUCUGGCAGCUGCCGCGCGGGCGGCUGCGAGUCCGCUGCCAGCCGCAUGUUCGUACUUGCGGGAUGCUGAUUUUCCUUCGUUGGAGGAUCGCGCAGGCGGACGACGAUCGGGACCCAGUCGUGCGAGUUCGAGUGCAUGAACCGAACCAGGGCGACGCUCUGCGGCCGCGCGGACGCCAUGAUCUUCUCCCUCCGGGCCUCGAGCUCCGACAGCACCGACGAGAACUUGUCGAGCCCCCGCCCCGAAUACGGGUUCUUGCCCGCCUUCCUCUUCGGCCCCUUCGGCGACGCCGACGACGCUGACAACGCUCUUGACAGGGUUUUGCAUGGCUGGUCGUCGCAGCCGUUGUCGUCCUCGGCCAUUCGCUUGAUGCUCCCCGCGCCGCAGAACAUGCCGUGAGAACACAUGCUGAUUGUUUGUGGAUUGUGAUUCAUGCAAAGUGAACAUAAGAAGAAGCUAUACUCUCUCUCUCUCUCUCUCUCUCUCUCUCUCUCUCUCUCUCUCUCGGUCAAAUAGAGAUAGGGAUGUAGUUAAUAAGGCUAGGGUUUUAAUUAAUUAAUAUAAAAAUUUGUAAACAUAUAUAUAUGUUUAAUUUGACUCGGUUGGGGUUUGGAUUGUGUAUGAAUUGGUCUAGGAAAACGAAUCCUUAUCUAACUCGGCGUAGGUAAAAAUAAAAAUAAAAAUAAUAUUUUACCGUUAGAAUUCAAAUUGUCAAACCUAUGGAAAAUUACAGGGUGAGGUGUCCUUUGGUAGACUCGAGUACAGUUUUGCGUGGACCUGGUGCGCCACGUCAUCCGUAGACCGUGUUUAUAGAUUUCAGUGUUUAUGAAAAUUUUAAAUUUAAUUUUUUAAUAAAAAAUAAAAUGUAUAGAGCCCCCACCCACCAAAAAAUAAAUCAUUUUGAAACGGCUUCAGAUUUUUUUUUCCUUUAUUGACACUUCUUAAUACUUAUUAUUAUUAUUAUUAUUAUUAUUAUUAUUUUAAAUAGAGUAAAUUGCAUGUUUGGUCCUCAAAAAAUAGGCGGCACUCUGAUUCUUAAACUUUAAUUUAUUAUUAUUUUUUGUUCGAACUUUCAGAACUAUUAUAAUAAAGUCUUAUAACAUAAUUUAGCUGAUCAAAUAUUAAUGCAUAAUUAAUUUGAAAAUAAUAUUAUAGCAUUGUAAUUAGUGAUGCACCGAUAACGAAAGUACUAUAUUAUUUUUAUAUUAGUGAAACGUUAAUAUUUAGUCAACUAAAUUGAUUGUGAGACUUGAUUAUAAUAAUUUUAAAAAUUUAAGCCAGAAAUUACAACAAAUUAAAAUUUGAGGCUCAAAGUGUCACCACAUAUCUCAUACUUUGAGAACCAACUGUGCAAUUUACCAAAAAAAAAAAAAAAUACUUGGUUGAGUAGAGUGUAAGAUCCACAUCUAUUCUGCUGAUGUGUAUAAGUAAUUGUGCUCUUCUCAUUAAAGUAUGUAAACUAUACCGGCUCUGUGAACAUUAUGUACUUUGUUUUUGCACCUAACUAGAUCUUACAAUUUGUGGACAAUCACAUCAAUAACAAGCUUAGAGUAAUAUUGGUAGGUUUGGGUAGGUCUAGGUUAAACAGGGGUGAACAAAUAAUCCUUUUCCCAUCUUCUCCUUUUGUUAUGAUUUUAGGUUCUCUUUCUAAUUCAUAUUGUUGGGUUUUGCUGGUUUUUAUGUAUUUUCUCUAUGAUGUUAUAGUUGAGAAUCUUCUUUGUAACGACUGUUAUCUCAAUAAUCAAUUUGAAAAAAUAAAAAACUCGGAAAUAAUUUUAACAAUCUUGUGCAAGCAUAGAUAAAUAUGAAGCAAAGGGUUCGAGCCCCAAAUUACACGCAUACAGAAUCUCAAAUCGCCGAUCUUAGACUGGGCUAGAAACCUUCUGAAAUGUAAAAAAUUUGAUACUAGUUUUAAUUUCAUGUUAUCCAAAAGAUCAAUUCGAUAGAUCACGUAAAUUCUCCCAAGUUUUAAACCUUGGGAGAAAUUAUGUAAAUUUAUUUUUUGAUGUCGUAAUUAAAAUGUCCAACUAAAAUCAAUUAAAUGAUCGGCUCAACUCAGAUCCAUUUCAACUCUUAAUUUGCCGUGAGUUGGAUAGAUAAGAAGUUAAAAGUUGCAUUAAUUUCUAAUUCGUAUACUAGUAUUUAGUACUUGGCAUUUAAAAAUGGAGUAAGGCGAAAAUACUUCGUUUACUCCGGCGUUAUUUCUAAUAAUAAGAUAUCUGAAUUGACAUUGGUAUUGUUAAAAUAUAAUUUAAACUAUUUAAAUUUUGUAAAGCCCAAAUUUUAUGACUUUUUGAUCUCAAAUUUACAUUAUAUCAGUCAUUGAAAAUGAUCAAUUUUAUAACCAUAUAAAUAUCAGCCAAAUAAUAUGAAAAAAUUUAUAAAAUUUAAAAAUUUAAAUAAUUUAGAUUAAGUUUGAUAAUGCUGAUGAUCGAUUUGAUGUCGCAUUAUCAUAUAAUGGAGCGGAAGUGAAUAACUCGAUUUUCUUUUAGAAAUAUUUAGUUUUACUCUUUUAAAGGCCUGUGAGAAAUACACAAGCUAUAUAUUUCGUCAUUUUUUUAAAAAAAUAAACAUAGCUAAAAAGUAUAAAGGGGAACUUGGGCUUUACGUGUUGAGAAUUCGGAACUCGUCCCGGUACCGAAUUUUGAGAAUUCGUAAUCCGCUUCGAUACUGACUAUUGUGAAUUCGAUACUGAUUGAUGGGAUUCUGCAACGGAAGUGUCAAAUCAAAUUUUUACAAUAAAUUCGUCUCUUCAGCAGAAGCUGAUACAAUCAUAAAAGAGAAAAAAAAUCAAAACAGAAAAUAUGCGGGUAAAAUAAGAUUUAUUAAAUAAGAAAAAAUUACACCUAACUCCUUUUCUAUAUAGAGUAGCUACAAUCCGAGCCCUCUUUCUGAAUCUCUCCUACUGUUCUCUCGUCCUCUAUAAACCCACAAAGAGAACAACUCUUCACGUACACCCGUAUACUAGGUGCACUCAACCAUGACUUUCUCUUUUCUAGAACGGUUUCACCUAAGAAAGCGUUCUCUCUCACCGUACUCUCUACUCCAAAAGCAUCCCAAAGAAUUAAUGCUUUUACAAUACAUCCUUUAAAACGUAUGCGAAUUCUAGUCUAAUUAGGAUUGCUACUUUAAUAAAUAUUUAGAUUAAUUUUAGUUGGAUAAGAAUUAAUAUUUAAAUCUGUUAGAAAUAAAUUAAGAUUUAAAUAUUAAUUAGAGUAUAAAUCUAACUAGAUAGACCAUGAAUCUAAGUAGAUGAAGAUAAAUAUUUAAAUCUAAAUCUAACUAGAUAGAGCAUGAAUCUAAGUAGAUGAAGAUAAAUAUUUAAAUCUAAUUAAUAUUUAAAUCUUAAUUUAUCUCCAACAGAUUUAAAUAUUAAUUCUUAUUCAACUAGAAUUAAUCUAUAAGUCUAACCAAAUCUUAACAUUAAGGCCCUAUCUAAAACACUAAUAAAUGGAUGUUAUCCCCCCCCUCCCUCUCUCUCUCUCUCUCUCUCUCUCUCUCUCUCUCUAUAUAUAUAUAUAUAUAGAGAAAGAGAAAGCUAGGCUGGAAUACUAUCAAUAGUACCAAGCUAUUGGUGCUGUUAGAUUUUCGGUCAUUGGAUGAAAAUUUGUACGGUUAGAAUGAUAGCGCCACCUAGGGUUGAGUGAGUUAUUGGUUUAAUAGUAUAAUUUAACGGGUGAAAAUAGUCAAAAGAUUAAAUCUAACGGUGAAAAACUUGAUAGUACCAAACACUUGGUACUAUCGAUAGUAUCUCAGCCGGACUCUAUAUAUAUAUAUAUAUAUAUAUAGAGAGAGAGAGAGAGAGAGAGAGAUAUAUAUAUAGAGCUGAGCUAGAAUACUAUCGGUAGUAAACGAGCCGUUUUACUACCGAUUUGUUUUCGAUGAUAGAACUUCCAAAUUGACGAUCGGCUCCGUUGAACAUGAUCUAUACCACUUGAAGUGUUUAGAAAUCAAAUUUUAAAUAUUUUCGACAUCAUUUGCCUAAUGAUCAAAGGGUUUCAAAAUUUGUAAUUUUAAUGGUCGAUAAGAGGCGUUUUCUCGUUUAACGGCGUAAAGAUAUCCAAAUCAAUUGAAUUUUUGUUAGAAAAUUCUUUAAACUAUUUAAAAUAAGAUCUAUAUUCUUGAUCUUGAUUACAAGACUCCUAUCAUCAUUUUUUAAAGAGUAUUCAUUUUCAGUCAUUCAUUAGGAUAAAAGAACAAUAUCGAAAGUGCGUGAAAUUUGAUUUCUAGAUAGUUUAAAUGGUUUAGAUCACCACUAUCAUCGAAAACAAAUCGGUAGUAAAACGGCUCGUUUACUACCGAUAGUAUUCUAGCUCAACUCUAUUGUCACGACCCGACACCGCCAAUUUGGACAGUUCGGGCCCAAACAGACCCGCCGAACGGACAGAGUUUCCCCUGCUCGCCCGAAGCGUAACAAAGUCUAUGCAUACAUAUCCAACAAGAGAUGUUAUAGCAUUGAACAUUGAGAGAGGCAAUCACAGAUACAAGAGAAUUUAAACUAUCUAUUACUUCACUUGUUUACACACAAAAACCAUUACAUAUUUCACUUGAUUUCUCAUACAUACAACCAAAAUGCCAUCCCUCAAAUACAUUACAUUUCUUUACAAAAGGGUUUUACAUAUCAUUCUUUUUUUUUUUUACUCGAGGGUAGUGAGCUAAUGCCGGUGAUCCACUCUAUCUAUUGUGCGACGCCCUUGCCGCGAUCCUCGACACACGCGCUNUAUUUAAAACAAGAUCUAUACUCUUGAUCUUGAUUAUAAGACUUCUAUCAUCAUUUUUUAAAGAAUAUUCAUUUUCAGCCAUUCAUUUUUCUGUUCACUUGAUGGAUAAAAGAAUAAUAUCGAAAGUGCGUGAAAUUUGAUUUCUAGGUAGUUUAAAUGGUUUAUAUCAUAUUUAACGAAGCCGAUCGUCGAUUUGGAAGCUCUAUCAUCGAAAAUAAAUAGGUAGUAAAAUGGCUCGUUUACUACUGAUAGUAUUCUAGCUCAACACUCUCUCUCUCUCUCUAUAUAUAUAUAUAAAUAAAGACACCCACUAAUAGAUGUAAACCGUUCAAAACAAACUUAAUAGAUAACCGGCAAAUUCGCUUUGUCGCCAUUCUAGUCAUGUGGUGAUGGCUCUUUUAUUUUUAUUUUCUUUUUCUUUUUUUCUUUUUCUUUUUUUGGUUCCAAAGUCGUUCGAAUCAACGUUUCUAGAAGCCAAUUGCGUCGUCAUAUCAUUUCGAGGAUAAAGUCGUGGGAAUAAAUUAUUACAAUGAUUGUACUUUCCACUUCUCAAAUGUGGUUAUUGCUGAGAUUUUUUUUUUCUUUUUGGAUAAAUAGUAAUUUUGGAUCAUAUAUGAUGAUAUAUGAUUAUUACGCAUGAAGAGCUAGGCGCAAAUUAAACUAACACCAUGAAAAUAUUUUUGAACAAAAAAUAAAACAAGCUAGAUUACUUUGGUUCUCCUUAAAGUUUCUAUGACAAAUAUUUAUACAAGUUUCAAAUUCACAAGAUCAACACAAUUGUUGUCGAAUACAAAUACGAAUUAUGAACCUAAAUCACCAUCCUUGUAUUUUCUACUGAAUUUUAUUUUUUCCUCUUUUUUUUUUUGUAAUUAAUAUGACAUCAGAACUGAUUCUAAAAUCUCUUAAUUCUCCAAAGACGCAAGUUCAUUGAAUAAUUAAUUUUUUAUUAUAUAUACUUACAUCUUUCUCUUCUUUUUUUUUCAUCUAUAAUCACACAAAUAUUGAAAAACAACUUUUAAUUUCUUCAAUAACUACAGCAGUUGAUGGCCUUUAUCGAUGAAUAUUCUCGACAAAAGUUUUUUCUUUAAAAAAAAAAAAAACAAAGAAGAAAAAAAACAUUCUUAGCCUGAAGAAAUUGAAGCCGUAAAUUUUGAAUUAGAAGUGGAUGUGAAUUUUCGAGAGAUAUUACAAAGAUGAAGUGUUAUUAUCAGUUUAAUUAGAGUACGGAGUUAGAUAUCAUUUUUGUAUGUAAGAGAAGUGGUUCAAAGCACCAUAAAAAUGUUUUUGUGCUGAAUUUUUUUUUCUUCUAGAAAACAAUUUUACAUAUUAAAAAAAGAACAAAUGUUUUGAUUUUCCAUUUUUGAAAAACUAAAUAAUAAAAAUUAAAGAACUUUUUCUUUUUUAACGCACUCCCAUCACCUCUUUUUCUAUUUUCCCUUUACUCCAAACCAAACUCUAAUAAAUAUAAAUUUUAUUUACUAUAUAAACCAAAAUUUUCAUUUUCACAAAAAUAUAUAUUUUUACUUUAAAAAUCAUUUACAAGUAGUUAUCAUUCGAGUGUGUCGUUGAAAAUUUGAUACUGAGGAUGUGCGUUUAAAAAAAAUGUGAGUCACCGUCGUAAUUACCUAUGUUUCUAAAAUUAUAUAUGAAAUUAUAUAACCGUUACGUCCCUAGCAUGACAGUUACUGAAACUGAAAUAAAAACAAGGGGAAACUUUAAAUACCCCCAUGUGGUUUCACACUUUCUCACUUUAAUACCCUGUGGUUUAAAGUGUAUCAAGUUAGUACCAUGUGGUUUUGCACUUUCUCACUUUAGUAUCCUAUGGUUUCAAGUGUAUCAAGUUAGUACCAUGUGGUUUCGCACUUUCUCACUUUAGUACCAUGUGGUUUAAUAUUUCGUUAAAUUAUAUACCCCGAAUGUAUAAUAAAAAGAAAAAAUUGAAACCACAGGGUACUAACUUGAUACAAAAGUGAAACCACAGGGUACUAGCUUGAUACACUUGAAACCACAUGGUACUAAAGUGAGAAAUUGCGAAACCACAGGAUACUAACUUGAUACACUUUAAAUCACAUGGUACUAAAGUGAGAAAGUGCGAAAUCACAGUUUCCCCUAAAAA